GGUGCAAUCAUUCAAGACUCAAUCACUAGAGCUACAAAGGGACUGAAGUUCACAAGCAGAGCACAAAAAUCAGGGAUGGAAAAGGCCGGAGGUGAUCAGAUUGUAGAGUCUUCUGGUCAUCACAUGGGUUUGCUUAAAGCAACAAGGACUACUACCACUAACAAGGAAGAAGCAAGGAGGAGGAGAUCGGUGCUGCUAUCUGUUAAUAAAGAAGCCGUAGAUUCCAAGAGUAAUGACAAAGUACAAAACAAUGUGGUGUUUACAGAUUAUAACCCACCACAUCAGACACCGCCCAUUCACAAC